UAUACAUGUUGUGAUUUAAAUCAGUUACAUUUCUUGAAAAGAAUAUUCGGUUGAAAAUUGAAAACCCUAGCUAAUAACAGAGGCAAUCUUAUUACAGUCUUCAAGAAGAGAAUGAUUCAUUGCAGACGAUGUUACACCCACAGCCUGAUGCCCUGAGACCGCUCUAUGUCUAUGAGUCUAAAAUGGGUAAAUCAUUUCCAGUUGAGAUAUCAUGUCUUGAUAUUGAGAAUAAGUUGAAAUGGUAUUCCAUCACUUCAGACAGAUUUUACUC